rnacentral:rRNA from 1 species
UACGUAGGGUGCGAGCGUUAAUCGGAAUUACUGGGCGUAAAGCGUGCGUAGGCGGUCCCCCAAGUCCGCUGUGAAAGCCCCGGGCUAACCUGGGAAUGGCAGUGGAAACUAUGGGACUUGAAUCUGGCAGAGGGGGGUGGAAUGCCACGUGGUAGCAGUGAAAUGCGUAGAGAUGUGGCGGAACACCGAUGGCGAAGGCAGCCCCCUGGGCUGAGAUUGACGCUGAGUGCACGAAAGCGUGGGGAGCAAACAGG